rnacentral:tRNA from 2 species
CGGGCUAUAGCGCAGCCUGGUAGCGCGUCUGUCUGGGGGACAGAAGGUCGCAGGUUCAAGUCCUGCUAGCCCGACCA